UGUAAUGGGUUUUUUUUUUUUCCUCACAAAGGUUUUUUUGGGUUUCCAGCAAAAAAAUCUCUCCAGCUCCCUGUCAUUGAAUAACCUUUUUUUUUUCUUUCCCUGAUUUUGUUUGCAGCUCUAUAUUCAUUUAAAUGGAGAAGACAGUUCAACCUUCCAAUAAGUGCAAGAGGAACCAUGUGGGUUUGGAGGAUAGGAUAAGUCGGUUCCCAGACGAAAUACUAGUCUCUAUUCUGUCUUUCUUGACUUUUGAAGAAGCAGUCAGAACUAGUGUUCUUUCGCACCGAUGGAAACAUCUGUGGCCAUUCUUCACUGGUAGUUUGGACUUUGAUGAUCCGGAUACAAUGUGGGACAUUGCGGACGAAAAGAAACAAUUGAAAGUCGAAAGGAAUAAUUUUGCGAAAAGGGUGAACCGUAUUCUAAAAUUACAUCAAGGCUCAAAUAUAGACGAGUUCAGAGUAUGUUUUGAGUUUAAUAGAUAUUCUAAACAUCGCAUUGAUGGAUGGAUUGACUUUGCAAUGUCAAAGAGAGUUAAGAGGCUUGAAUUGGACUUUACACCAACAUGGGUAUGCAAGAGUCAAAUGCGUUAUACAUUUCCACAUGAACGGUUUACAAAACUUGAAAGUUCUGUUGGAGUAUCUUGCAUCGAGUCCCUGAUGUCCCUCACUCUAAUGAAUGUACGUGUAACUGGCAAGCUUCUUGAGCACUUGCUAUCCAAUUGUCCCUUGCUUGAAAGAUUACAUGUCUCUGAUUCUGAUGAUCUAGUGACUUUGAAGGUUUGUGGUUCAUCACUGCGGUUGAAGUACUUACACAUAAUACAUUGUUUAGAAUUUAAAAGUAUUGAGAUUUUUGCACCAAAUCUUGAGUCUUUGGGCCUCGUUGGUAGACAAACCGAGAUGCAUGUUAAUCAUGCACCUUGUCUGCUAGAUGUACGUAUAGGGGGAAGCAAACCUGUGAAUUUUGCAAUUUGCCCUCUUUCAAGCUACCUUCUCAGCUACAGAGUUUGAUACUUCACAUUUGCAUUUAUCCAAUUGAAAAAUUGGAAUUCUUGAAAUUUCAACCAUUAACCAAUCUUAGAAACCUCAAAUGGAGAGUUACUGCAUCUGAUGGAGAGAGCCUUGUCUAUUUAAUAUCAAUGGUAGAAGCAGCACCUUUCUUACAGAAAUUUACUUUGGAGUUGUUAUGGAGUAAACCCCUGAUAGAAAGAGAAUUUAGGAAGGUGAUGAAAUAUCCAAAUGAGCACCUCAAGGAGGUGGAAAUAAUGGGGUUUGUGGGGCGUGCAAUAGACAUGGAGCUUACCGUUUACUUACUUGAAAGUGCCAUCAAACUUGAGAAGAUUGUUAUUAAUCCUCGAUCUCCAGCUCUUGUGGGAACCCCUUGGGAGUUUGAGACGACUGAGAAAAAUGAAGGAGCUAUAGAAUGUGCCAACCAACUCAAGAAAAAUCUACCUCAAGGAGCUGAAUUACUUGUACUUUAAUCAUUGUCAUUAAUAUUAGCUUAAGUGGUGUUGUUUGCUAGGUACCAGUUGAUAUAUAUAGAGAGAGAGACUACAAAUUAAUUGUUAAAAUGUGAUGAUUGUCUUUUUACUGUUAUCAUUGUAAGUACUUAAUGAUGGGCAAUAUGAAUUGCAAUAGCUAAUGCUGACAAUCUCCAUUUUAAUUUAA